rnacentral:misc_RNA from 1 species
UAAAUUAAAUUAAACACAAUCACACAUCUGUUUCAAGAACUUGCGUUCUUUGUAUUAUAAUAUCAAGCAAUCCAGUAUCGCAUUCAAUAUGCCACACUAAACCACUCAAUAUUAAGUGUGCCACAUAUAUAAUAGCAAUUUUGUAAUGAUCCUUCCGCAGGUUCACCUACGGAAA